UUCUCUAAUUGACAUAAGUUCAAUCUUAUUACAAUAAAAUUACAAUUAAAUUUCGUGUUUCUCUCAUCAGGUGAUGUCAUCAUGUCGCAUUUCGGCCUACAUUUCGCAUAUUUUCGCGUAUUUUGUACACCCACGUACGCUAAAUCAGAGAAAGUCCAUUCUUCGCCGAAGAGGAGAAAUUAGAUUUUUUUAAAUUCAUGUAUAUUGAUGCCACACGAGAAUGGCAGAAUGGCAGAAUGGCGUCGACUCCGUCAGAACAAACGUAUAAAUGAGAAAACGUUACAGUUUAACAGAAUCGAUCAAACGUUCUCGAUAACGCGUUGCGUUUCUCAAUCCGAUCAACAAAUCAACGAAUAAAAAAAGUAUCAUAUAAAUAGUAACACGUCUGGUUAAAGAUUGUUGAGCUACGACACGGUAAGUAUAUACGUAUAUUCAUGCGAACGUAACUCGUAAUUAAAAUCUGAGAAUCGAAAAUCUAUUUCGAGAUUUCAUCCUAGUAACACGCUGCUGGUCAAACCGGAUUCAGAUCUAACGAGUCCUUGGAACUUGUUAUUAAAAUUACGCAAAUGAAUUACGAAUUGAAUUUGUUGAAGAAAUCUACGUUGACGUGCUUGCUAAAUACAGUUAUAUUAGGUUUAAUAUCAUGGUAGCCGUUUGAUAUCGUAUAAGACAUUUAUAGCAUACAAGAAAAAUAAAUAUAUAAUUUGCGAGAGUUUAUAACAAGUAAAUUAUAAAUUUUCUUAAUGUAGCCUCUGAAUCUCUUUCAUGUAUAUCAUUGAAUCUUUAGCUCCAUUUCCA